GCUUGCUUCAGCAAUGCGUAUACUAAAACUGGAACGAUGCAGAGAAGAUUCGCAUGGACCCUGAGUAAGGAUGGCAUCCAAAUUUGUGAAGCAUUCUGUAUGAAA